GGCUCAGAGCGAACGUUAGCGGCGGGCCUAACACAUGCAAGUCGAACGCGAAAGGUCUUCGGACUGAGUAGAGUGGCGCACGGGUGAGUAACACGUAGGUAAUCUACCCUUUGGCGGGGGAUAACGUUCCGAAAGGAGCGCUAAUACCGCAUAAGGACCACGGAGUCUCCGGACGCUGUGGGAAAAGGUGGCCUCUUCUUGAAAGCUACCACCGAAGGAUGAGCCUGCGUCCCAUCAGCUAGUUGGUAAGGUAAUGGCUUACCAAGGCGAAGACGGGUAGCUGGUUUGAGAGAAUGAUCAGCCACACUGGCACUGGAACACGGGCCAGACUCCUACGGGAGGCAGCAGUGAGGAAUAUUGGGCAAUGGGCGAAAGCCUGACCCAGCCACGCCGCGUGAGUGAUGAAGGCCCUCGGGUCGUAAAGCUCUGUGGAGAGGGACGAAAACCCUGGUUUCAAAUAGGCUCCAGGCUUGACGGUACCUCUUUAGCAAGCACCGGCUAACUCUGUG
rnacentral:rRNA from 1 species